CGCAAUGUAGGAAGUAAAUUCCACAUACGUUCCCCUCCUAGGAUGGCGAAGGCAUACACAAUUCGCGACCGUCCCUACCCGCUGCCUGCUCCGGUCUGGUUGGUUGUAAACCGUCUCUGUUAGGGUUAGGCAGGAGGAGUUGGUUAUGGUAACAAUGUCAGGGUAACGUUAAGCCAAUCAAUGGCAGAGUAAGAUAGAGUAGGGCGGGGCAUGCCUUCUCAAUCCUAGGAAAUAAAAUACUCUCGCGUACCGUUCUUGUUUUCCCCGUUUUGACAGCUCGAACUAAACGUUAAAUUAAAUCUGCCUGCUUGUAUAUAUUUAGUCUUUUCUCCUAUACUUUCGGAGAAGUUUCCGACUUGAAUAAUCGACUCGACUAGCUGUAACACUAACAUCACGGUCCGUGAAACCGUCAAGGAAGUCAAAAUGAGUCGCAGUCGGAACCCCCCUCCCCGGGGUCAAGGGGCAGCGCGAGCCAAACAGAUGGGGCUGCUUCUUGACCUGUCCCCGGAUGGAGGGAUGGAUGAUGAGGGAAAUGAUGAAGACCUGGAGGCAGAGCUGUUGAAUCUGG